AAAUAAAUGGCAACAGAUGACAUUAGUCAAAUAUCAGUCAAGAAUCGUUAAGGAAAUUAACGAAUUAAUUGAAGCACAUGUUUCGCAUAUAUUAAAAACAUUAACACGAUACUUUUUAUUUUAAUUUCUUAUAUAUCUACAAUACAUUUUUAAAUCACUCUAUUGCGGUUAUAUAUUUAAAAUGAAUCAAAGAACUCUUACGUUUGUCACAGGAAAUGUAAAAAAAUUGGAAGAGGUGAGAGCUAUUUUAGGUAACAAUUUUCCAUUGGAAGUUAUAAGCCAUAAAUUAGAUUUACCAGAGCUGCAGGGAGAAAUAAAUGAAGUAUCAAUUAAGAAGUGUCAAGAAGCAGCCCGCUGUAUUAAUAGGCCAGUAUUUAUUGAAGAUACAAGCCUUUGCUUUAAUGCAUUAAGUGGCCUUCCUGGACCUUAUAUUAAAUGGUUUUUAGAUAAAUUAAAACCAGAAGGCUUACAUAGGUUAUUGACGGGAUGGGAAGAUAAAUCAGCAGAAGCAGUUUGCACUUUUGCAUAUAGUUCAGGCAAUAUUAAUGAUGAUAUUGUUAUUUUUCAAGGAAUAACAAAAGGUACUAUAGUUGCACCAAGAGGUUCUAGAGAUUUCGGCUGGGACUGUAUAUUUCAGCCCAUUGGUUAUGACAAAACAUAUGGAGAACUACCAAAGGAAGAAAAAAACAAAAUAUCUCAUAGAUAUAAAGCAUUAGAUAAAUUAAGAACUUAUUUCAUAGAAAAGAAUGGACAAAUAUAAUAGUUACAAUGUAAGCGUAGUACAGUAAAAUCUCGUCUUGCCCUCACGAUUGAUAACCGGGGAAUAAUUAUAUCGAAGAUCAUAAUGUUCAGCAUGUGGGGGUUUAGGUCAACUUGGGGUCGAGUGCGCGAAACAUUUAAGAGGAAAAUAUGGCAAAGAAAACGUUAUACUGUCCGACAUUAUCAAGCCAACAAAUGAGGUUUUUAACGAUGGCCCAUACAUCUUUGCUGACAUUUUAGAUUUUAAAGGUCUUCAAAAGAUAGUUGUAAAUCACAGAGUAGAUUGGCUUAUACAUUUUUCAGCACUUCUUAGUGCGAUCGGUGAACAAAAUGUACCGUUAGCAGUGCGAGUGAAUAUAGAGGGAAUGCAUAAUG